rnacentral:rRNA from 1 species
UACGUAGGGGGCAAGCGUUACCCGGAUUCACUGGGCGUAAAGCGGGUGUAGGCGGCUCGGUCAGUCGGGUGUGAAAUCCCACGGCUCAACCGUGGAAUUGCGCCCGAAACUGCUGAGCUUGGGGCCGGUAGAGGGAGACGGAACUGCCGGUGUAGGGGUGAAAUCCGUAGAUAUCGGCAGGAACGCCGGUGGGGAAGCCGGUCUCCUGGGCCGCGCCCGACGCUGAGGCCCGAAAGCUAGGGGAGCAAACCGG